UGUCAAGUUAUUAAGGGCAAUUGGUGGAUGCCUAGGCACAGACAGGCGAUGAAGGACGUGGCUGGCUGCGAUAAGCCCCGGGUAGUUGUCAAGCAAACUAUGAUCCGGGGAUUUCCGAAUGGGAAAACCUAUCUGGGGUUAUGCCCAGAUACUUCUGAAAUGAACACAUAGUUUUAGAAGAGCUAACCAGGAGAACUGAAACAUCUCAGUAACCUGAGGAAAAGAAAGUAAUAACGAUUUCCUAAGUAGCGGCGAGCGAACGGGAAACAUGCCUAAACCGGUUAUGUGUUAAAGCGGUGGCGCGUUGCAUAAUCGGGGUCGUGGGACUUAAACAUGGAUCAGGCCACACUGGUCCGGAAAGUCAUAAAACAGCUUGCUUAGUUGAAGCGUUCUGGAAAGUUCUGCCAUAGAAGGUGACAGCCCUGUAAAUUAAAAGUGGUUGUCUUUCCGUUUAAGUUCCCAAGUAGGACAGGACACGAGAAAUCCUGUUUGAAUCUGGGAGGACCAUCUCCUAAGGCUAAAUACUCGUCUGUGACCGAUAGUGAACAAGUACCGUGAGGGAAAGGUGAAAAG
rnacentral:ncRNA from 1 species